AAUCAACGCUGGCGGCGUGCCUAACACAUGCAAGUCGAACGCGAAAGCCCCGAAAGGGGUGAGUAGAGUGGCAAACGGGUGAGUAACACGUGGGUGACCUGCCUUCGAGCGGGGGAUAACGUCCCGAAAGGGACGCUAAUACCGCAUGACAUCCUGCCUUUGAACAGGUGGAGAUCAAAGCUGGGGAUCGCAAGACCUAGCACUCGAUGAGGGGCCCGCGCCUGAUAGCUAGUUGGUGAGGUAACGGCUCACCAAGGCGACGAUCAGUAUCCGGCCUGAGAGGGCGGACGGACACACUGGGACUGAGACACGGCCCAGACUCCUACGGGAGGCAGCAGUGGGGAAUUGUUCGCAAUGGGCGCAAGCCUGACGACGCAACGCCGCGUGGAGGAUGAAGACC
rnacentral:rRNA from 1 species